rnacentral:rRNA from 1 species
GACGAACGCUGGCGGCGUGCUUAACACAUGCAAGUCGAACGGAAAGGCCCUGCUUUUGUGGGGUGCUCGAGUGGCGAACGGGUGAGUAACACGUGAGUAACCUGCCCUUGACUUUGGGAUAACUUCGGGAAACUGGGGCUAAUACCGGAUAGGAGCUCCUGCUGCAUGGUGGGGGUUGGAAAGUUUCGGCGGUUGGGGAUGGACUCGCGGCUUAUCAGCUUGUUGGUGGGGUAGUGGCUUACCAAGGCUUUGACGGGUAGCCGGCCUGAGAGGGUGACCGGCCACAUUGGGACUGAGAUACGGCCCAGACUCCUACGGGAGGCAGCAGUGGGGAAUAUUGCACAAUGGGCGGAAGCCUGAUGCAGCAACGCCGCGUGCGGGAUGACGGCCUUCGGGUUGUAAACCGCUUUCGCCGGUGACGAAGCGUGAGUGACGGUAAUGGGUAAAGAAGCACCGGCUAACUACGUG